AAAUCAUGGUGAGAACACCUCCGUAAAAGAUCCUUAUACCUUUCUCAUGCUUCAUAUAAUGACUUCAUGUCUUGUUGGUAGAAAUUGGUAAUCUCACUUCUCAGCUU